rnacentral:lncRNA from 1 species
GCCGGAGCAGGAUUGCAGUCUUCUCUGAGCAGGAGACCCUCCCUUGAAUCCCGGCACUGGGACGUCUCACCCUCUCGCGGCACCUGUUGCAGGUGACAGAGACGUCGAGUCCCCUUUUCGGUGGUUCCUCGAUCAGCGCUUGGUCGUCGCGCCGGGUCUCAGUCUCGCACAGCUUCCGGACCUCAGACCUCGCGACGUCAACUUCUCCAGCCUCCAUAGGACCGUCAAAGCUCUGGAAACUGUAAAAAGACCAGCACAAACAACUUGCUUGCACCAAGUUUACUGAUCAUAGACUGCUGCAACGCUUUAGCUCUAACGGAAAAUGGGAUCUAGUUUCCUUUUCCUUUUAUUCUUUAUUUUAUUAUUACUUUUUCAUUUAUUUUAUUUUCUUCCUUUUUAAAUAUUUUUACCCAGUCUCUGGCCAUUCCCUUUUGAUCUUCUUUGAACUUCUUUCUUAUCUACUUUGGAAACUUUGGUGUGACUAGGGAUCUGACUACAUGUUUAUUACUUGACCCAACAAAAAAUAAUACAUAAGUUUUCUGUUCUCCUUCCACAUCCCAUUCCCCAGACAUAACAAUAUUAAAUUUUUAUCUCUUUCCAGACAUUUUCCAUGCCUGUAUAAAAUAUUUAUUUCCAUCCAUCCAUCCAUCCAUCCAUCCAUCCAUUCUGUCUGUACUUAUAUGUUAAAAAUACAAAUGGAAUCAUAAUGUGUAUGUUUUGUAAUGGAUUUUUACUUAAUAUUU